AUUGAACGCUGGCGGCAUGCCUUACACAUGCAAGUCGAACGGCAGCACGGGGCAACCUGGUGGCGAGUGGCGAACGGGUGAGUAAUGCAUCGGAACGUACCUUUCAGUGGGGGAUAACGUAGCGAAAGUUACGCUAAUACCGCAUAUUCUGUGAGCAGGAAAGCAGGGGAUCGCAAGACCUUGCGCUGAUUGAGCGGCCGAUGUCAGAUUAGCUAGUUGGUGAGGUAAAGGCUCACCAAGGCGACGAUCUGUAGCGGGUCUGAGAGGAUGAUCCGCCACACGGGAACUGAGACACGGUCCAGACUCCUACGGGAGGCAGCAGUGGGGAAUUUUGGGAAAUGGGGGCAACCCUGAUCCAGCCAUGCCGCGUGAGUGAAGAAGGCCUUCGGGUUGUAAAGCUCUUUCGGCCGGGAAGAAAUCGCACGGGCUAAUACCCUGUGUGGAUGACGGUACCGGAAUAAGAAGCACCGGCUAACUACGUGCCAGCCGCCGCAGUAACAC
rnacentral:rRNA from 1 species